GUGGGGAAUCUUCCACAAUGGACGAAAGUCUGAUGGAGCAACGCCGCGUGAGUGAAGAAGGGUUUCGGCUCGUAAAGCUCUGUUGUCGGGGACGAAUGUGCAGUAUUUGAAUAUAGUACUGCAAUGACGGUACCUGACGAGGAAGCCACGGCUAACUACGUGCCAGCAGCCGCGGUAAUACGUAGGUGGCAAGCGUUGUCCGGAAUUAUUGGGCGUAAAGGGAGCGCAGGCGGGAAGGUAAGUCGGUCUUAAAAGUGCGGGGCUCAACCCCGUGAUGGGAUCGAAACUAUCUUUCUUGAGUGCAGGAGAGGAAAGUGGAAUUCCAAGUGUAGCGGUGAAAUGCGUAGAGAUUUGGAAGAACACCAGUGGCGAAGGCGACUUUCUGGACGAUGUCUGACGCUGAGGCGCGAAAGCUAGGGGAGCGAACGGGAUUAGAUACCCUUGUAGUCC
rnacentral:rRNA from 1 species